AAUGAAAAGACCCAACAAAAGACAAGAAGAUGGAAAGAGAUUGUUGUGAAGGAAACGUCCUGAAUUUCUUUUUUUUUUUUUUUUUUUUUUAUCUGUUACCCAGGAGCCCCGAACCUAUUUUACACAGAAUGUUUCUUGGAUAUAACGCUGCUAAUAACCCUAAUUGCAAGUCAGCCCUUAUUACCAGGGAAGCAGUGACACGUUUUAUUUUUAUUGGUGGGAGUCAUGCAAGCCAGCCCAUUCUCUGCCAUUGAACCCUGCUUUUACCAAACAAGU
rnacentral:lncRNA from 10 species